rnacentral:sRNA from 1 species
CGAAAGCCUGACGGAGCAAUACCGCGUGAGGGAGGAAGGCUCUUGGGUCGUAAACCUCUUUUAUCAGGGAAGAACACAAUGACGGUACCUGAUGAAUCAGCAUCGGCUAACUCCGUGCCAGCAGCCGCGGUAAUACGGAGGAUGCAAGCGUUAUCCGGAAUUAUUGGGCGUAAAGCGUCCGCAGGUGGUUUUGAAAGUUUGCUGUCAAAGCGCGAGGCUCAACUUCGUAUCGGCGGUGAAAACUUCAAGACUAGAGCUAGGUAGGGGUCACGGGAAUUCCCAGUGUAGCGGUGAAAUGCGUAGAUAUUGGGAAGAACACCAGCGGCGAAAGCGCGUGACUGGGCCUGAGCUGACACUCAUGGACGAAAGCUAGGGGAGCGAAAGGGAUUAGAUACCCCUGUAGUCCUAGCCGUAAACGAUGACAACUAGGUGUUGCCCGUAUCGACCCGGGCAGUGCCGUAGCCAACGCGUUAAGUUGUCCGCCUGGGGAGUACGCACGCAAGUGUGAAACUCAAAGGAAUUGACGGGGGCCCGCACAAGCGGUGGAGUAUGUGGUUUAAUUCGAUGCAACGCGAAGAACCUUACCAAGGCUUGACAUGUCGCGAAUCUUCUUGAAAGGGAAGAGUGCCUUCGGGAGCGCGAACACAGGUGGUGCAUGGCUGUCGUCAGCUCGUGUCGUGAGAUGUUGGGUUAAGUCCCGCAACGAGCGCAACCCUCGUUUCUAGUUGCCAUCAUUAAGUUGGGCACUUUAGAGAGACUGCCGGUGACAAACCGGAGGAAGGUGGGGAUGACGUCAAGUCAGCAUGCCCCUUACGCCUUGGGCUACACACGUACUACAAUGCUACGGACAAAGAGCCGCAAGUUCGCGAGGACAAGCAAAUCUCAUAAACCGUGGCUCAGUUCAGAUUGCAGGCUGCAACUCGCCUGCAUGAAGGCGGAAUCGCUAGUAAUCGCAGGUCAGCAUACUGCGGUGAAUACGUUCCCGGGCCUUGUACACACCGCCCGUCACACCAUGGGAGUUGGCCACGCCCGAAGUCGUUACUCCAACCGUUCGCGGAGGAGGAUGCCGAAGGCAGGGCUGAUGACUGGGGUGAAGUCGUAACAAGGUAGCCGUACCGGAAGGUGUGGCUGGAUCACCUCCUUUUAGGGAGACCUACCCAUCUAAUGGUCAAGCGUGAGAGCGCGAUGAGAUUAGAUAGGUUAACCCAAGGUCGUUGAGGAAUUGAGUGUUGGCUUCCAAGCUAUGUAAGAUUGGUUCGGGUUAUGGGCUAUUAGCUCAGGUGGUUAGAGCGCACCCCUGAUAAGGGUGAGGUCCCUGGUUCGAGUCCAGGAUGGCCCACCUUUAGAGAGAUAAGGGGGUUUAGCUCAGUUGGUAGAGCGCCUGCUUUGCAAGCAGGAUGUCAACGGUUCGAGUCCGUUAACCUCCACUGAAAGCUGAGAGCUUUCGAGACCAGAGCGAACCAAAUUUAACUUCAGCAACUCUUCUAACUUUCAGUUAGGUUUUUGAUAUUUAGAGAGCCUGCUGGAUUUAAUCCAGUCAGAACCUUGAAAACUGCAUAGAAACUUGUCAGGUAGAAAGUAGUGGUCUUUCAGUGAAUUGCUCACAAGGUAAUUCAAAGGAAGGCAC